rnacentral:lncRNA from 1 species
CACAGGACCUGGAAAACCCUCAGAAACUCAAUUGUUCUCUCUCUUUCUUCUCUCUCCAGUCAGAACCUUCAGGAAGGGGAGAGUGGCUCAUGGGCUGAGUGGAUAAACCACAAAAUGGGUAAUAUACUAUAGGAGGCAGAGUUUGAGAUCGACGUCCCCCUGCACCUGGGGCGCCUCCUGAUGGUGAAGCUGCGCAAACACAACGUGCUGUUGAGUCUCGACUGGUUCUGCAAGUGGAUCUCAGUGCAGGGCCCGGGGACCCAAGGCGAGGCCUUUUUCCCCUGCUACCGCUGGGUGCAGGGCCACGGAAUUAUCUGCCUGCCUGAGGGUACUGGUGGGGCUCCUGGAAAGAUGGGUUAAUCCUGCCUAUAGCAGGGAAUAGGCAACCGGACCUUCCUAGGGACGAGCGAUUCCUCGAGGAUAAGGAUUUAGACUUUAAUGUCUCCCUAGCAAAAGGGUUGAAGGACUUGGCCAUUAAGGGGACACUGGAUUUCAUAAAUUGUGUGAAAAGGCUGGAAGAUUUCAAAAAAAUAUUCCCACAUGGAAAGACUGUCCUGGCUGAGCGGGUUUAUGAUUCUUGGAAGAAUGAUGCCUUCUUUGGGUACCAGUUUCUCAAUGGUGCAAACCCCAUGCUCCUGAGGUGUUCUUCAAGGCUCCCAGCCUGCCUGGUGCUGCCUCCAGGGAUGGAAGACUUGAAGACCCAGCUGGAGAAAGAACUCCAGAGGCUGGAUCUCUGUUUGAAGUGGAUUUCUCCUUGCUGGAUGGAGUCAAGCCUAAUGUCAUCAUUUUUAAGCAGCAAUGCGUGGCAGCCCCUUUGGUCAUGCUGAAGCUUCAGCCUGAUGGAGGACUCUUACCCAUGGUCAUCCAGCUCCAGCCACCUUGACACGGAUGUCCCCCACCUCUGCUCUUUCUGCCCUCGCAUCCCCCCAUGGCCUGGCUCCUGGCCAAGACCUGGGUCCGGAGCUCUGAUUUCCAGCUGCAGCAGUUACAGUCACAUCUGCUGAGGGGACACUUGAUUGCUGAGGUUAUUGCUGUGGCUACAAUGAGAAGCUUGCCUAGCCUCCAUCCUAUCUACAAGGUCUCCUGAUCCCCCACUUCCGCUACACCAUGGCGAUCAACACGCUGGCCCAGAGUAGUCUUGUCUCCGAAUGGGGAAUUUUUGACCUGGUGGUGAGCACUGGUAGUGGAAGCCACGUGGACAUUCUUCAGAGAGCCAUGGCUUGUUUGACCUAUCAUUCCCUCUGUCCUCCUGAUGACCUGGCUGACCGUGGGCUCCUGGAUGUGAAAUCUUCUUUUUAUGGCUAAGAUGCCAUCAGGCUGUGGGGAAUCAUCAGCCGGGAAUAGGUACGUGGAGGGGAUGGUUGGGCUUUUCUACAAUAGUGACCAAGCCAUGAAGGAUGAUCUAGAGCUGCAGGCCUGGUGCAGAGAGAUGACUGAGACUGGACUGCAGAGGGCCCAAGACCAGGGGUGUUCCUCAUCUCCUUAGAGUCCCGGGCUCAGCUCUGCCACUUUGUCACCAUGUGCAUCUUCACAUGCACAGGUCAGCAUGCUUCUAACCACCUGGGCCAGCUGGACUGGUACUCCUGGAUCCCUAAUGGCCCAUGCACCAUGCAGAAGCCCCCGCCCAUCUCUAAGGAUGUGACAGAGAAGGAUAUAGUGGACUUACUGCCCAAUCUCCACCAGGCACGUAUGCAAAAGACCUUCACAAAGUUCCUUGGCAGACGCCAGCCUGUCAUGCAUGAGGAGAAAUAUUUCUCUGGUCCUGAGCCCCAAGCUGUGCUGAGACAAUUCCAGGAGGAACUGGCUUCCAUGGACAAGGAGAUUGAGGUCCGGAAUGCAGUCCUGGACCUGCCCUGUGAGUACCUUUGACCCAGCAUGGUAGAGAACAGCGUGACCAUCUGAGAGGCCUUGCCCGCCUCAGCUCCAAAGCUCCACCAUCCCUGAGUGCCUUUGAGUAUUCCGUCCUCCUCACAUCCUCUGGUGAACAAAUUGUCCCCAAAGCUUUGUGGUCAGGGUAUCCAGAGCUGCUCACCACACAACUAUGGGGAAUACACAGUGAUGGUCCCCAUUGCAUUUGGAAGUGGCAUCCCCCAAAGCUGCCCUACCUUAAAUGUCCAUCCAGUCCUGCACUUCCUCACCCCGAUCCCUGCACACCUCCUCAUUGCCAAAGGACCUGGCUUAGAUACAAGUAAAAAUUUUUCCACCAAUAUAUACAUCCCUAAACAACAUGACUUAGUUUUGAAACACUGAGCAGCAAGCACCAAUCUAGAAGAAUAAGGAAAGGGUGAUGUUACCACUGUUUGAGGAAGGCUCAGGAGGAGAAGAUAAACUGAACAGCCUCUCGGUCAUUGUCUGGCUUCAGCUUCCCUAAGCAUUUAUAAGAGCUUUUUAUGGGAAAAUCAUUGAGUAAGAUGAUGAGUAACACUGGGAAUCACUGGGCUCAGCACAGGUGAGACAUACGGUAACGCUGGAGAAUGGGCCGAGUUUUAGAUGUUUGGCCAGGAUAUAGUCAGAAGGAGAUGGCUGUUGUGUAUAUUCUGCUCAUCACGACUUCUCCUCCACUUCCCAGAAGAGGUCAAGGCAGAACAUUUCUGGAUGACACCCACAGUAGAUCAAGCAUCAGAGCACUCGAGGAAUGAGCAGGAACUUUAUCAGCAUGUGGUCAAAAUAAAGAAAGUACAAAGGAAAAAUCUGGGCCAGACUCUGGGUAUUGAGUCCUUGAUUUAAAAGUUAGCAUGAUGGCAGUGGGGAUGGUGGUGAUGGAAGCCCUCAGUGUGUCUCUCCCUGGAGUCCUGGUGUCCCACUUCUUCAGGCUGGACUUGUUUCCUUCUGCACCUAGUGCAUAACUGUCAUUCUGGACUCUCCCAUCACCCUUACCCUAGAGUCCCUUCACCACUCUCCUGUGUUUGAUUCCUACCUGUUGUGUCCCAUAUGUUCUUUCUUGGCUUGUCCUCUCAUUCAAGAAGCACAGCCUCCAGUAGCCCCUUAAGAAAGAACGCAUGGGAAGUAAAUCUUGCAUAUCUGAAAAUGCCCUUAUUUUACACUCAUAUUUGAUUGAUAAUUUAGCUGGGUGCAGAAUUCUAGGCUGGGAAUAGUUUUUCUUAAGAAUUUUGAAAAGCAUUGCUCUGGUGUCUCUUGCCUCUACCAUUGUUUAUUGAAGCCGGCAAAGCCAAAGCUGAUUCCCGAUCCUUUAUAUUUGAUCUUCGUAUGUACCCUCUCCCUUGCUCUCUAAGCUUUUAAGAUCUCUUGGACUUUGUUCUGAAACUCCAUGAUAACGUGCCUUGACAGGUCUUUUUUCAUCCGUUUCUCUGGGCACUUGAAGAACCCUUUCAAUCUGGAAACUCAUGUCCUUCUUGAGUUUUGAGUAAACUUUUCUGUAUGGUUUUAUUGAUGACUGCCUCUCCUACAUAUUCUUUUUCUCUCUUGAGCACCAAUUAUUCAAAUAUUGAACACACCGGUUUUUUUUUGUUUUUUU